rnacentral:rRNA from 1 species
UUUCCGUAGGUGAACCUGCGGAAGGAUCAUUACUGAUUUGGCGGACCGAGCGUCAGCGAGGUUCCGCGAUCACCUGUAUUUAAAACCCACACUUUUGAAUUAUAUGUAUAUUUUUGUAUUUUUGAUAAAAAAAAGAUCACUUUCAACAACGGAUCUCUUGGCUCUCGCAUCGAUGAAGAACGUAGUGAAGUGCGAUAAGUAAUGUGAAUUGCAGAAUUCCGUGAAUCAUCGAAUCUUUGAACGCAAAUUGCACUCUCUGGUAUUCCGGAGAGUAUGCCUGUUUGAGGGUCAGUUAAAUAAAAAUCGAUGUUGUUGCCAUCUUGCGUGGUGACGCAUCGGAUGUGGGUCGUCUUACCUUCGGUUAAGUGACCUAAAAUUUUGCAUGAUUUUUUCGAACGUAUUUAAAUUAUUUACGUGCGUUCGUGAUAAUCGAACAUUAGACGUGAUUCAUUCUCAUGAUUCGCGCCUAUGAUUUCUCAUCAAAAUGACCUCAAAUCAGGUAAGAGUACCCGCUGAACUUAA